rnacentral:tRNA from 1 species
UCCCUGGUGGUCCAGUGGUUGGGACUCUGCACUUCAAAUGAGCAGGGCACAGGUUCAAUUCCUGGUUGGGGAA